rnacentral:tRNA from 1 species
GUUCGGCCUCGGCGGCGGCGCGCCCUGCCACGCUGUGGUCGGGGUUCUGAGCCGCCGCGCUCAGUUCGCGGUCGGACA